rfam:Plasmodiophora brassicae isolate e3 genome assembly, contig: scaffold_1
GUCUGAGUGGCGCAACUGGUCAGCGCGUACGACUGUUAAUCGUGAGGUUCCCGGUUCGAGCCCGGGCUCGGACG